ACGAUAUUAUUGACUAUUGACAGUCUUGAGAUAGUGACUCUUGUGUUGUGGUGCAUCGGGAUAGUGGUUUUACCGUGCGAGAUAGUAACUCUGUUGGUAGAUGCCGGCCGGCGUUUAUGCUACCUGCCUGCCUCAAUAAAAAUGAAUCGAACAGGCAGUUUGAGUCCAGAGAGUAAUCACCGACGAUGUAUCAACUGUCCAUUGGCAGUACCAAGGAACACAUUGAUACACACAGUGGAAAGUGUGCACAACAAUAUAUUAGAAGUUUUGAACUCAUGGGUGAUACCUACCUACUUUGGUUAGUUUUUUUAUUACUCAUUCAUAAACUUAUUCAUGAUCUUGAUGUAGGUAUGUAUAUUUUGUAGUUUUUAUUAAUGAUACCACUUAUAGGUAUAUAAAUUCUGUCUUACAAUAUUUUUGAUGGCCUUAAUUGUUGCCAAUUCCGCCAUUCCGCAAAAAAUUCCAUUGCUGUAGAUGAUGUCCUGGUUUCAAUUUCCAUUUUUGUUGUACAAUUUAAUACAGAUUAACAAAUAUUGCUUGUUUCAGGUAACCGGAACAUAUAAUAUGCCACAAUUGCUACAAACUUACUGUUGCAAGAAGCAACAAUUGGCAGCCCUGAAGUUGGCCAUCAGAGCGUUUGUUUUGGCUGUGGUGGUGUGCAUUAUUAUGCACUAAAAGAAAAACAUAAUUAUUAAAUAAGACCUGAAUCUCCACAGUGAAAUGUCUUUGCAUAGACAGCGCUCAUCUUGUAUCCAGACUUGAGAGGUGUGCUGGAGAACAGCUACUAGAACAGUCGACAGACAGCAGCAGCAUGAUCCUCAAAGGCCAAUAAGAGAAGAAGAACUUCAAAGAACAGACAAGUCACCGUCAAGAAUUACCUCUUCUAUAUCCGAGUAGCGAGCACAGCCAAUCACUAUUUGCACAUAAACUGUACUGGCUCUCUAUAUACAAGUUAAAAAGAUUACAAUCAUCACAUAACAUACUUUAAAAAAUAAAUGUUAUCUGAUCAAUGAUUAUA